rnacentral:tRNA from 1 species
GCGAGGGUGGCGGAACAGGCAGACGCGCUACUUUGAGGGGGUAGUAAGAGAAAUCUUGUGUGAGUUCAAAUCUCAUCCUUCGCACCA